rnacentral:rRNA from 1 species
GGGAACAUGAAAUGCUUAUUGCACCACAUGUGUUUUUCUUUGAAACAAACUUGCUUUGGCGGUGGGCCCAGCCUGCCGCCAGAGGUCUAAACUUACAACCAAUUUUUUAUCAACUUGUCACACCAGAUUAUUACUUAAUAGUCAAAACUUUCAACAACGGAUCUCUUGGUUCUCGCAUCGAUGAAGAACGCAGCGAAAUGCGAUACGUAAUAUGAAUUGCAGAUAUUCGUGAAUCAUCGAAUCUUUGAACGCACAUUGCGCCCUCUGGUAUUCCGGAGGGCAUGCCUGUUUGAGCGUCGUUUCUCCCUCAAACCGCUGGGUUUGGUGUUGAGCAAUACGACUUGGGUUUGCUUGAAAGACGGUAGUGGUAAGGCGGGAUCGCUUUGACAAUGGCUUAGGUCUAACCAAAAACAUUGCUUGCGGCGGUAACGUCUACCACGUAUAUCUUCAAACUUUGACCUCAAAUCAGGUAGGACUACCCGCUGAACUUAAGCAUAUCAAUAAGCGGAGGAA